rnacentral:sRNA from 1 species
CGAAGGUUCGAACUGCUGAGCCGCGAGCUGCGGGCCAUGCUGGCCAUCGAAGCCGCUUCGACCCUCAGACUGGCAGAAAACGUCCGCUCAGCAGCACCGAGAGCAGCUCCUACUGGAGGAGCUGGUGUCGCUGGUGAACCAGCGCGACGAGCUAGUCCGGGACUUGGACCACAAGGAGCGGAUCGCCCUGGAGGAGGACGAGCGCCUGGAGCGCGGCCUGGAACAGCGGCGCCGCAAGCUGAGCCGGCAGUUGAGCCGGCGGGAACGCUGCGUGCUGAGCUGAGGCCGCCGGCCCGGGUGGCCCAUAACUUCUCGCGCCCCCGGCUUCCGCAGCCGUCCCGGGUCUGCGCUGCGGAGGACCCGGCCGUCCCGGAGGCCGUGCGCGUGUCCGCUAGGGGCCGCCGGCGCCCUUCCCGGUACGGGGCAGGGCGGAUCCCCGACCUCACGGGCGGGGCGGCCGC